CAGCAGCCGCGGUAAUACGUAGGGUGCGAGCGUUAAUCGGAAUUACUGGGCGUAAAGCGUGCGCAGGCGGUUUUGUAAGUCAGAUGUGAAAGCCCCGGGCUCAACCUGGGAACUGCGUUUGAAACUACAAGGCUAGAGUGUAGCAGAGGGGGGUAGAAUUCCACGUGUAGCAGUGAAAUGCGUAGAGAUGUGGAGGAAUACCGAUGGCGAAGGCAGCCCCUGGGUUAACACUGACGCUCAUGUACGAAAGCGUGGGGAGCAAACAGGAUUAGAUACCCUGGUAGUCCACGCCCUAAACGAUGUCAACUAGUUGUCGGGAGAGGAGACUUUCUUGGUAACGCCUGGACGCGUGAAGUUGACCGCCUGGGGAGUACGGUCG
rnacentral:rRNA from 1 species